CUCUUCGCCCCCGGCUCGGUCCUGCCCCGCGUCCCUGCAGUUCACAAAGGGUAAGAGGGCGCCAUUGGGGCUCUGUGGGGCGCCCCCGCUGAGGAUGUUGUCGGCCGCGCUCUCCAUCUCCUCUAUGGUCAUGUCGCAGGCGUCGGCCAGCUCCUGGGUGGUGACCUCGAUGAACUUGGGAUCUUGAGCAAACUGCCCCAGUCCUUCUGAAAUCAAGACCUGAAGGAGCGGGGUGGGAGCCAUGAAGAACCAAAGGAACAUUACUCCUGGAGCCCAGCUCUUCCCUUGAGGGCUAGAGCGAGGGGGUAUCUGGUCUCAUCCUGAGACGUCUCCUCCUGACCCGCCAUGGCUGCCUGGCUCUCCCGGGAGUGGCACCUACAAUAUCCAAGAUGAAGAAAAACAUCAGAAACUGCCAACCUUCCUCCACUUCCUUCAGCAAGUAAAGCAUCACACACGCACACACAUGCAGGUGUACACACGUGCACAAACACAAGCACACACACGUGAACAGGCAUACAGUUGCUGGUGCUUUGUUCUCCUGUGAUUGCUGAUGGAUCCAUAGAAGUGUUCAGAUUAGGGUGAGGGUCCCAUUUGGGAGAAGGAUGUCUGCUGUGGAUCCAGGAGUCCUGACCCCAAUCCACUUACCCUCUGGUCCAAGUCACUUGGUCCACCUCAUGCCUCAGUUUCCCUAUGAAAUUGGAAUGACAUAUGCCCUGCCUAACUUAGAGGCUGCCCCCCACUCACCUCCAGCUAUGACACCUGGGUCUUUGGCAUUUGGCAUAGCUGAGAAGUCCUUGGCCUCUUAUUUUGAUGGUGCCCUUGAUUCUGACACUGGCACCCUGGGGUAAAGGCACAGAGAGGAAGCCUCACCUAGAGGGGUUUGCUCUCCUGAGCAGAAGGCAGUGAGCCUGAGUCCCUGCUGAGCCUGAAUCCCUCCUGAGCUCCAGAUCCUCACACAUCGGAACGUGCCUUUCCCUGCUGGGACAGGGUCAGGUCAUCUUUAGCUCUGGACCAAGGCCUCUUCCUUUUCCUGUCUGAGCUCAGCUCAGUGCCUCCCUUUGUCUUGCUUUCUAUAGACCUUGCAUGCUGGGCCCACUUUAUCCUCAGACCCCUGAGGGCAUCAGAGAAAGAUCCUGGUCCAUCCUCUCAGAGCCGAGUGCUAAAUCAGUGCCCUGGCUCUGAGCAUCCCAGGCAGGGUAGAAGCAAUUCUCUCUCUCGAGGAGGAGGACUGCAGACUGCCACCCGCCCCGCAGUGGAAGGAAAGAUGAGAGGAAACAUUUCCCUUAGGAAGGCGGUUCCUUCCCGCUUCUCUGAGAGCCAGUGACACUGAGAGCUGCUGUUUCCAGGGAGCCCUGCCUUGGGAUGGAGUCAGGCUUGGAAAAGGCAAAGGGGUGAGGAGACAGCUCAUCAGGAAGAGCCUGGAAGUAGCCCUUUCCUCUGGUGCAGCUCCUUCCCCUGGACGUUCCCCGCAAAACCCCAGCCCAACCUCUUGCUCCAAACUGAACUUUAUAGGGGUCGAGAGUGCGCCAUGGCACCACCCACCCUGAAGAUGUCAUCUUCAGAAGCAGCGGACACAGCCUCCUUCAUGGCCUUGUCCAGCUCCUCCUCAGCGGUGAGAUCUCCAGAGAUGGCCCGUCGGAUCUCAGGCCCGAUGUCAUGCAGUGUGCGCAAGCCAGCCUGGAAUCCAAGGGGAGGAUGAGAGAAGCUUGUUUGGCUUGGUACUGGACUUGGGAUGAGAGCUCUUCCUUCUACGUUCCAAGAGAGAAGCUUCUUUGGCUUGGUACUGGACUUGGGAUGACAGCUCUGCUUCUCUGAGGGCCGUCCUGACCAGGGCAAACAGGGUGGCAUUGAACAUGACUGUCCCGUCGCUGUUCAGAGGCAUGUUCAUGGAGACCAGGCGCUGCAGGCGAAGAGAAGCAAAGCUGGUGAUGAUGGCAGGCGGUGCUUAGGGGACCGCAGAACACCGUGGCAGAGUGAUAUGGUUUGGCUCUGUGUCCUCGCCCAAAUCUCAUGUUGAAUUGUAAUCCCCAGAAUUGGAGGUGGGGCCUGAUGGAAGGUGAUUGCAUCAUGGGGUGGAUUUCUCAUAAAUGGUUUGGUACCAUCCCCUUGGUGAGUGAGUACUCAUGAGAUCUGCUUGUUUAAGUAAGUGUGUGGUCCCUCCCCCUUCUCUCUUGCUCCCUGUCUGUCCAUGUGACGUACCUGCCUCCCCUUUGCCUUCCACCAUGAUUGA
rnacentral:lncRNA from 1 species